UACGGGGGGAGCAAGCGUUGUUCGGAUUUACUGGGCGUAAAGGGCGCGUAGGCGGCCAGCACAAGUCGGUUGUGAAAUCUCCGGGCUUAACUCGGAAAGGUCAACCGAUACUGUGCGGCUAGAGUGCGGAAGGGGCAACUGGAAUUCUCGGUGUAGCGGUGAAAUGCGUAGAUAUCGAGAGGAACACCAGUGGCGAAGGCGGCUCACUGGACCGGUACUGACGCUGAUGCGCGAAAGCGUGGGGAGCAAACGGG
rnacentral:rRNA from 1 species